GACGAACGCUGGCGGCGUGCUUAACACAUGCAAGUCGAGCGGUAAGGCCCUUCGGGUACGACGAGCGGCGAACGGGUGAGUAACACGUGGGUGACCUGCCUCUAGCUCUGGGAUAAGCCUGGGAAACUAGGGUCUAAUACCGGAUAUGACUCCACGGCGCAUGUUGUGGGGUGGAAAGCCUUGUGUGGCUAGAGAUGGGGCCCGCGGCCUAUCAGCUUGUUGGUGGGGUGAUGGCCACCAAGGCGACGACGGGUAGCCGGCCUGAGAGGGCGACCGGCCACACUGGGACUGAGACACGGCCCAGACUCCUACGGGAGGCAGCAGUGGGGAAUCUUGCGCAAUGGGCGAAAGCCUGACGCAGCGACGCCGCGUGAGGGAUGACGGCCU
rnacentral:rRNA from 1 species